GAUGAACGCUAGCGGCAGGCCUAAUACAUGCAAGUCGAACGGUGUCUUCGGACAUAGUGGCGCACGGGUGCGUAAUACGUAUGCAACCUACCUUACAUUGGGGGAUAGCCUUUCGAAAGGGAGAUUAAUACCGCAUAAGACAGUAGCUGGGCAUCCAGCAGCUGUUAAAGAUUUAUCGAUGUAAGCUGGGCAUGCGUCCAAUUAGCUAGUUGGUGAGGUAACGGCUCACCAAGGCAAUGAUUGGUAGGGGAACUGAGAGGUCAAUCCCCCACACUGGCACUGAGAUACGGGCCAGGCUCCUACGGGAGGCAGCAGUAGGGAAUAUUGGGCAAUGGACGCAAGUCUGACCCAGCCAUGCCGCGUGCAGGAUGAAGGCGUUAUGCGUUGUAAACUGCUUUUAUACAGGAAGAAACGACUCUUGCGAGAGGCAUUGACGGUACUGUAUGAAUAAGCACCGGCUAACUCCGUGCCAGCCGCCGCAGUAAUAC
rnacentral:rRNA from 1 species